AUAAAAAGAUGAUGAAUUGGGCCAAUAGACUAAGAAAAGUAUUCUUCUUGAAAGUUUUCCCUCCUUGAAUUCAAAGGUACCUGCACUCAAUCCUUUCUGGUUCAUAAAAUUCAGAAGUGUUUGAAAAUGUAUUAGGAAGAUAUUGAAUUAACACCACACCUACGCAGCAAGGCAGAGCCAGUGUGGAGACAGAAACAGAUGCAGGAAAGAGGACGGAGUGUACAGAAGAAGGAGCCUCUGACUUCUUUUUUCGAGUUUUUGGUAGAACGUAAGAAGAGAAAAAAAGUCUUUCAGAUUAUCUUGUCAGAUUUUAGGUUUGGGGAAGAUCAGCAGACUUGUAUGCCUAAGUUGUACCGGGAGCUUAUACUUCAUGACCGUUGAUGCUGAAGUAAGGAGAAUUCGCAUCAUCACGACUCAGAAGGCAAAAUGGAAAGUACAAUCCCUUUCUUCUGCAAAAAUGAAAUGUUUCUUGCAGCUGGUGAGGUAUGAGUGUUGACCAUACAGGUAGCAGGCCAGCUCCGUUCAUACUCUUUAACUACUACCCUCAUCUUUCCCUCUCCCUUAGGCCUCAACAAACACUAAUGUGCUUCCUGUCUCUGUAGAUUUGCUUACAAUAUUUCAUGCAAGUAGAACCAUGUAAUAUGUGGUCAGAGUUUUUUGUGAUUAGUUUCUUUCACUUAGCAUAAUGUUUAUAAGGGUUUACUGAUAUUGUGGCAUGCAGCAGCACUUCAUUUUCAAG
rnacentral:lncRNA from 1 species